AACGUAGGACGCGAGCGUUAUCCGGAGUUACUGGGCGUAAAGCGCGUUCAGGCGGUUUGGCAAGUCGGGCAUGAAAUCUCUCGGCUCAACCGGGAGAGGUUGUCCGAUACUUCCAGACUUGAGGGCAGUAGAGGGUGGUGGAAUUCCGGGUGUAGUGGUGAAAUGCGUAGAUAUCCGGAGGAACACCAGUGGCGAAAGCGGCCACCUGGACUGCACCUGACGCUGACACGCGAAAGCUAGGGGAGCGAACGGG
rnacentral:rRNA from 1 species